rnacentral:lncRNA from 1 species
UGGGGGAGGCCUGAGAGAUAUCCAAUGCAGGCGCGGGCUGGGCACACACCGGGAGUCCAGGAAGGACGACGAGCUCCCUGAGUCCCAGUUAAAGCCAGGGGGGCCUGACUGGUGGGAAGGGCGAGCUGGGAAAAGCUGAGAGAGGCACGCAGCCCAGCCAGGCAGAAGUCAGGAGCCAGGCACCUGCCAAGAGAGGGAGUAAGAUGUUCAAGGGGAGCUCCAGAAGAACUUUCAGAUACAGCACUGGACUUGGCUGGGGACACAGCAGCACGGGCUCCGGUCGGCACCUGAGGAGCGGCGUGACCUCGAGGGCCCAGGGAGCUGCCCGGCUGG